UUUGCUUAGUGUGUCAUUGUCCUU
rnacentral:siRNA from 1 species